rnacentral:rRNA from 1 species
GGUUAAGCGACUAAGCGUACACGGUGGAUGCCCUGGCAGUCAGAGGCGAUGAAGGACGUGCUAAUCUGCGAAAAGCGUCGGUAAGGUGAUAUGAACCGUUAUAACCGGCGAUGUCCGAAUGGGGAAACCCAGUGCAAUUCGUUGCACUAUCGUUAACUGAAUACAUAGGUUAACGAGGCGAACCGGGGGAACUGAAACAUCUAAGUACCCCGAGGAAAAGAAAUCAACCGAGAUUCCCCCAGUAGCGGCGAGCGAACGGGGAGCAGCCCAGAGUCUGAAUCAGCUUGUGUGUUAGUGGAACGGUCUGGAAAGUCCGACGGUACAGGGUGAUAGUCCCGUACACCAAAAUGCACAGGUUGUGAACUCGAAGAGUAGGGCGGGACACGUGGUAUCCUGUCUGAAUAUGGGGGGACCAUCCUCCAAGGCUAAAUACUCCUGACUGACCGAUAGUGAACCAGUACCGUGAGGGAAAGGCGAAAAGAACCCCGGCGAGGGGAGUGAAAAAGAACCUGAAACCGUGUACGUACAAGCAGUGGGAGCACCUUCGGGUGUGACUGCGUACCUUUUGUAUAAUGGGUCAGCGACUUAUAUUCUGUAGCAAGGUUAACCGUAUAGGGGAGCCGCAGGGAAACCGAGUCUUAACUGGGCGUUAAGUUGCAGGGUAUAGACCCGAAACCCGGUGAUCUAGCCAUGGGCAGGUUGAAGGUUGGGUAACACUAACUGGAGGACCGAACCGACUAAUGUUGAAAAAUUAGCGGAUGACUUGUGGCUGGGGGUGAAAGGCCAAUCAAACCGGGAGAUAGCUGGUUCUCCCCGAAAGCUAUUUAGGUAGCGCCUCGUGAACUCAUCUUCGGGGGUAGAGCACUGUUUCGGCUAGGGGGUCAUCCCGACUUACCAACCCGAUGCAAACUACGAAUACCGAAGAAUGUUAUCACGGGAGACACACGGCGGGUGCUAACGUCCGUCGUGAAGAGGGAAACAACCCAGACCGCCAGCUAAGGUCCCAAAGUCAUGGUUAAGUGGGAAACGAUGUGGGAAGGCACAGACAGCCAGGAUGUUGGCUUAGAAGCAGCCAUCAUUUAAAGAAAGCGUAAUAGCUCACUGGUCGAGUCGGCCUGCGCGGAAGAUGUAACGGGGCUAAACCAUGCACCGAAGCUGCGGCAGCGACACUAUGUGUUGUUGGGUAGGGGAGCGUUCUGUAAGCCUGCGAAGGUGUGCUGUGAGGCAUGCUGGAGGUAUCAGAAGUGCGAAUGCUGACAUAAGUAACGAUAAAGCGGGUGAAAAGCCCGCUCGCCGGAAGACCAAGGGUUCCUGUCCAACGUUAAUCGGGGCAGGGUGAGUCGACCCCUAAGGCGAGGCCGAAAGGCGUAGUCGAUGGGAAACAGGUUAAUAUUCCUGUACUUGGUGUUACUGCGAAGGGGGGACGGAGAAGGCUAUGUUAGCCGGGCGACGGUUGUCCCGGUUUAAGCAUGUAGGCUGGUUAUCCAGGCAAAUCCGGAUAAUCAAGGCUGAGGUGUGAUGACGAGGCACUACGGUGCUGAAGUAACAAAUGCCCUGCUUCCAGGAAAAGCCUCUAAGCAUCAGGUAACAUCAAAUCGUACCCCAAACCGACACAGGUGGUCAGGUAGAGAAUACCAAGGCGCUUGAGAGAACUCGGGUGAAGGAACUAGGCAAAAUGGUGCCGUAACUUCGGGAGAAGGCACGCUGGUGUGUAGGUGAAGUCCCUGCGGAUGGAGCUGAGACCAGUCGAAGAUACCAGCUGGCUGCAACUGUUUAUUAAAAACACAGCACUGUGCAAACACGAAAGUGGACGUAUACGGUGUGACGCCUGCCCGGUGCCGGAAGGUUAAUUGAUGGGGUUAUCCGUAAGGAGAAGCUCUUGAUCGAAGCCCCGGUAAACGGCGGCCGUAACUAUAACGGUCCUAAGGUAGCGAAAUUCCUUGUCGGGUAAGUUCCGACCUGCACGAAUGGCGUAAUGAUGGCCAGGCUGUCUCCACCCGAGACUCAGUGAAAUUGAACUCGCUGUGAAGAUGCAGUGUACCCGCGGCAAGACGGAAAGACCCCGUGAACCUUUACUAUAGCUUGACACUGAACAUUGAGCCUUGAUGUGUAGGAUAGGUGGGAGGCUUUGAAGCGUGGACGCCAGUCUGCGUGGAGCCAACCUUGAAAUACCACCCUUUAAUGUUUGAUGUUCUAACGUUGGCCCCUGACCGGGGUUGCGGACAGUGUCUGGUGGGUAGUUUGACUGGGGCGGUCUCCUCCCAAAGCGUAACGGAGGAGCACGAAGGUUAGCUAAUCCUGGUCGGACAUCAGGAGGUUAGUGCAAUGGCAUAAGCUAGCUUGACUGCGAGCGUGACGGCGCGAGCAGGUGCGAAAGCAGGUCAUAGUGAUCCGGUGGUUCUGAAUGGAAGGGCCAUCGCUCAACGGAUAAAAGGUACUCCGGGGAUAACAGGCUGAUACCGCCCAAGAGUUCAUAUCGACGGCGGUGUUUGGCACCUCGAUGUCGGCUCAUCACAUCCUGGGGCUGAAGUAGGUCCCAAGGGUAUGGCUGUUCGCCAUUUAAAGUGGUACGCGAGCUGGGUUAGAACGUCGUGAGACAGUUCGGUCCCUAUCUGCCGUGGGCGCUGGAGAAUUGAGGGGGGCUGCUCCUAGUACGAGAGGACCGGAGUGGACGCAUCACUGGUGUUCGGGUUGUCAUGCCAAUGGCACUGCCCGGUAGCUAAAUGCGGAAGAGAUAAGUGCUGAAAGCAUCUAAGCACGAAACUUGCCCCGAGAUGAGUUCUCCCUGAGACUAUAAGUCUCCUGAAGGAACGUUAAAGACGAUGACGUUGAUAGGCCGGGUGUGUAAGCGCAGCGAUGCGUUGAGCUAACCGGUACUAAUGAACCGUGAGGCUUAACCUU